rnacentral:sRNA from 1 species
UUUUGGUUUUUUUUUACUUCU